ensembl:lncRNA LINC02942 long intergenic non-protein coding RNA 2942
UCUGUUGAAAGAGGGAAGUGUGGUGCCUGAAGCACUGAAAAGCAUGCGGGAGAAGGUGAUAACAAGGCUCAGGGGAAAACCGAGGCAAGAAGAGAAGUCCUGUUGCAUAGAAAGAGAGAGCUCAGAAACUGGAAUUAGAUGCCCUGGGUUCACAUCUUGGCUCUGCGUCUUAAAAGAUUACAAGACUGAAUAAGAUAGACAUGACCUCCUUCCUCCUGGACCUGACAAUUGUUCCUUCAAAUCACUUCCACACAUGCAUUGCCUGGGGACUGGGGACUGGGGUCUGGAUCCCAUGGCCAGACCAAACCCCAAAGGAAGCUAUUGGAGAAUACACACCUUCGAAAUGCGGAGAAAUAUAAGAAAAGGAAGACAAGAGUUCAAGAAGCCAGGCAUCCAACAAUAAUAACUAAAGAGGCAAGGUAAUUCUCAGGAUGAUGUAACAGAAAGUCCAGACUGGUGAAUGACAAUGAAGAACUACAAGAGGUUUGUACUCUGAAAAGAAGAAGGAAAAAAGUGGAACUCACAGUUUGUCUAAAGUUUUUGACCAUGUUUCAAGGAAGUAUAUGGUUCUGUGCAAAGUUAGCAAAAGGUACAUUAAAAAAAUGAGAAAACAACAAAAUCAGGCAAUUACCAACUAAAAGUAUAAAGAAUUUGGUACAAAAAAGGAAAUUAAUAAUACACUACAUGCUAACUUGUUAACAAUUUUUACAUAGUACCAAUACAAUAAAUACAAUGUUAAUUUCAAACUGCAAUUAAUUAUGCUGGAAGGAUGUGGGAGUGUUAAGAGAGUUAAAUUAAAAUCUUCAUAACAGGAAGUCAACAGAUAAUACCUACUGAAUAUUUCUACUUUUUGGAGGGAUGUUGGGUUGGGGAACUACUGUUUCAUUUCCUUAAAGUACUAUUUGGCUUUUUAAAUUGCCUGUACACAUGCAUAUGCAUACAUAGUCUAAAGUUAAAUUUUUAAAACCACAUAUAAAAGCCAUGUGGGAAAAGAAUUAUUGUGAAUGCUUAGUAAAAGAAUGUAUGCACAGCACAUAAUACAAUGUUGAUACAUCAUAGAGUAUUAAUAAAGUCCCCAAGAUUUGCCUGCUUGGGAUAGUCUUAUUAACAAAAGUUAAUCUUGUUAAUAAAACAGUCAAC